rnacentral:rRNA from 1 species
UACGUAGGGGGCAAGCGUUGUCCGGAAUCAUUGGGCGUAAAGCGCGUGUAGGCGGGUCGGUAAGUCCGCUCUGAAAGCCCGGGGCUCAACCCCGGGAGGCGGGUGGAUACUGUCGACCUCGAGUCCGGAAGAGGCGAGUGGAAUUCCUGGUGUAGCGGUGAAAUGCGCAGAUAUCAGGAGGAACACCAAUGGCGAAGGCAGCUCGCUGGGACGGUACUGACGCUGAGACGCGAAAGCUAGGGGAGCAAACGGG